GAGCCUUUGAACAUCGAUAUCGAUCUCCCGGGUGUACAUUUCCAUAUGAUGUGAAAACAUGAGGACUGACUCUGCCCUGCAAGCAGCAGCAGGCAUCAUGCUGUCCAUGGAAAGAGCUCCAAGUGCCCACUGCCAGUGAACAGAAAGUGAUUUCCUUCCUUCCAACUGGCUUGAUUCAUGUAUUCCCACUGCUGGAACUGGAAAUCGCCCAAAGACCCCCAGCUGCCCCUUUAACAGAUUUGGAUGGCCUUGAGCAAUAAAUGCUUUUGAAUACUUUAA